CACACAUCCAACCCAAGAAACUCUGCUGCCUGUAGCAGCUAUUUAAACAGUGCUGUGUAUAGCAAAGGGGCUUUGUCACCUUUGAGGGUCUGUGUGGUGCCCCCCGCAGUGGACUGGGAGGUUCCAUAGUC